CCUACGGGAGGCUGCAGUGAGGAAUAUUGGUCAAUGGGCGCGAGCCUGAACCAGCCAAGUAGCGUGAAGGAUGACUGCCCUACGGGUUGUAAACUUCUUUUAUAAAGGAAUAAAGUGAGGCACGUGUGCCUUUUUGUAUGUACUUUAUGAAUAAGGAUCGGCUAACUCCGUGCCAGCAGCCGCGGGAAUACGGAGGCUCCGAGCGUUAUCCGGAUUUAGUGGGUUUAAAGGGAGCGUAGGUGGGUUGUUAAGUCAGUUGUGAAAGUUUGCGGCUUAACCGUAAAAUUGCAAUUGAUACUGGCAGUCUUGAGGACAGGUGAGGUAGGCGGAAUGCGUGGUGUAGCGGUGAAAUGCUUAGAUAGCACGAAGAACUCCGAUUGCGAAGGCAGCUUACUAGACUGCAACUGACAUUGAUGCUCGAAAGUGUGGGUAUCAAACAGGAUUAGAUACCCGGGUAGUC
rnacentral:rRNA from 1 species